UACAGAGGAUGCAAGCGUUAUCCGGAAUGAUUGGGCGUAAAGCGUCCGCAGGUGGCAAUGUAAGUCUGCUGUUAAAGAGUCUAGCUCAACUAGAUAAAAGCAGUGGAAACUACAUAGCUAGAGUACGUUCGGGGCAGAGGGAAUUCCUGGUGUAGCGGUGAAAUGCGUAGAGAUCAGGAAGAACACCGGUGGCGAAGGCGCUCUGCUAGGCCGUAACUGACACUGAGGGACGAAAGCUAGGGGAGCGAAUGGG
rnacentral:rRNA from 1 species